AGAGUUUGAUCAUGCCUUUAAUUGAACGCUGGCGGAAUGCUUUACACAUGCAAGUCGAACGGCAGCAUAGGUGCUUGCACCUGAUGGCGAGUGGCGAACGGGUGAGUAAUACAUCGGAACGUGCCCAGUCGUGGGGGAUAACGUAGCGAAAGUUACGCUAAUACCGCAUACGAUCUACGGAUGAAAGCGGGGGACCGUAAGGCCUCGCGCGAUUGGAGCGGCCGAUGUUAGAUUAGGUAGUUGGUGGGGUAAAGGCUCACCAAGCCGACGAUCUAUAGCUGGUCUGAGAGGAUGAUCAGCCACACUGGGACUGAGACACGGCCCAGACUCCUACGGGAGGCAGCAGUGGGGAAUUUUGGACAAUGGGCGCAAGCCUGAUCCAGCCAUUCCGCGUGCAGGACGAAGGCCUUCGGGUUGUAAACUGCUUUUGUACAGAACGAAAAGCUCUGGGUUAAUACCUCGGGGUCAUGACGGUACUGUAAGAAUAAGCACCGGCUAACUACGUGCCAGCAGCCGCGGUAAU
rnacentral:rRNA from 1 species